rnacentral:rRNA from 1 species
AGCGAACGCUGGCGGCAGGCCUAACACAUGCAAGUCGAACGAAGUCUUCGGACUUAGUGGCGGACGGGUGAGUAACACGUGGGAACGUACCUUUUGGUUCGGAACAACUCAGGGAAACUUGAGCUAAUACCGGAUGAGCCCUUAGGGGGAAAGAUUUAUCGCCGAAAGAGCGGCCCGCGUUAGAUUAGCUAGUUGGUGAGGUAAAGGCUCACCAAGGCUACGAUCUAUAGCUGGUCUGAGAGGAUGAUCAGCCACACUGGGACUGAGACACGGCCCAGACUCCUACGGGAGGCAGCAGUGGGGAAUCUUGCGCAAUGGGCGAAAGCCUGACGCAGCCAUGCCGCGUGAAUGAUGAAGGUCUUAGGAUUGUAAAAUUCUUUUACCAGGGACGAUAAUGACGGUGCCCACAGAAGAAGCCCCGGCUAACUUCGUGCCAGCAGCCGCAGUAAGAC